GUUGUAUGGUUAAGUGACUAAGCGUACAUGGUGGAUGCCUUGGCAGUCAGAGGCGAUGAAGGACGUACUAACCUGCGAUAAGCCGUGAGCAGUCGGUAAGAGACAUUACGACUCACGGAUUUCCGAAUGGGGAAACCCACUUAGCAUAAGCUAGGUAUCGCUACGUGAAUACAUAGCGUAGCGAGGCGAACCGGGAGAACUGAAACAUCUAAGUACCCCGAGGAAAAGAAAUCAACCGAGAUUCCCUCAGUAGCGGCGAGCGAACGGGGAUUAGCCCUUAAGCAUCUUGGAAGUUAGUGGAACGGUCCUGGAAAGGCCGGCGAUACAGGGUGAUAGCCCCGUACACGAAAACAACCUUGAUGUGAAAUCGAGUAGGGCGGGACACGUGACAUCCUGUCUGAAUAUGGGGGGACCAUCCUCCAAGGCUAAAUACUCCUGACUGACCGAUAGUGAACCAGUACCGUGAGGGAAAGGCGAAAAGAACCCCUGUGAGGGGAGUGAAAUAGAACCUGAAACCGUGUACGUACAAGCAGUGGGAGCCCUUCGGGGUGACUGCGUACCUUUUGUAUAAUGGGUCAGCGACUUACAUUUUGUAGCGAGGUUAACCGUAUAGGGGAGCCGUAGGGAAACCGAGUCUUAACUGGGCGUCUAGUUGCAAGGUGUAGACCCGAAACCGGGUGAUCUAGCCAUGGGCAGGUUGAAGGUUGAGUAACAUCAACUGGAGGACCGAACCCACUAACGUUGCAAAGUUAGGGGAUGACCUGUGGCUGGGGGUGAAAGGCCAAUCAAACUCGGAGAUAGCUGGUUCUCCCCGAAAGCUAUUUAGGUAGCGCCUCGGACGAAUACUACUGGGGGUAGAGCACUGUUUGGGCUAGGGGGUCAUCCCGACUUACCAACCCCAUGCAAACUCCGAAUACCAGUAAGUAAUAUCCGGGAGACACACGGCGGGUGCUAACGUCCGUCGUGAAGAGGGAAACAACCCAGACCGCCGGCUAAGGUCCCAAAGUUCUGGUUAAGUGGGAAACGAUGUGGGAAGGCUCAGACAGCUAGGAUGUUGGCUUAGAAGCAGCCAUCAUUUAAAGAAAGCGUAAUAGCUCACUAGUCGAGUCGGCCUGCGCGGAAGAUGUAACGGGGCUCAAACCAGGCACCGAAGCCGCGGAUUCACGCUAAGCGUGAGUGGUAGGGGAGCGUUCUGUAAGUCUGCGAAGGUGUAUCGAGAGGUAUGCUGGAGAUAUCAGAAGUGCGAAUGCUGACGUAAGUAACGAUAAAGGGGGUGAAAAGCCUCCUCGCCGGAAGACCAAGGGUUCCUGUCCAACGUUAAUCGGGGCAGGGUGAGUCGACCCCUAAGGCGAGGCCGAAAGGCGUAGUCGAUGGGAAGCAGGUUAAUAUUCCUGCACGACUUGUAAUUGCGAUGGGGGGACGGAGAAGGCUAGGUGGGCCAGGCGACGGUUGUCCUGGUGAAAGUGCGUAGGUGGUGUUUCUAGGCAAAUCCGGAGACACAACACUGAGACACGAGACGAACGCACUACGGUGCGGAAGCCAUUGAUGCCCUGCUUCCAGGAAAAGCCUCUAAGCUUCAGAUUACAAGUCAUCGUACCCCAAACCGACACAGGUGGUCGGGUAGAGAAUACCAAGGCGCUUGAGAGAACUCGGGUGAAGGAACUAGGCAAAAUAGAACCGUAACUUCGGGAGAAGGUUCGCUCUUGACAGUGAAGUCCCUUGCGGAUGGAGCAGUUGGGAGUCGCAGUGACCAGAUGGCUGGGACUGUUUAUCAAAAA
rnacentral:rRNA from 1 species